rnacentral:rRNA from 1 species
UAACUGAAGAGUUUGAUCAUGGCUCAGAUUGAACGCUGGCGGCAGGCUUAACACAUGCAAGUCGAGCGGGGGAAGGUAGCUUGCUACCGGACCUAGCGGCGGACGGGUGAGUAAUGCUUAGGAAUCUGCCUAUUAGUGGGGGACAACAUCUCGAAAGGGAUGCUAAUACCGCAUACGUCCUACGGGAGAAAGCAGGGGAUCUU